rnacentral:rRNA from 1 species
UACGGAAGGUCCGGGCGUUAUCCGGAAUUAUUGGGUUUAAAGGGAGCGUAGGCCGCUUGUUAAGCGUGCCGUGAAAAGCCGUCGCCCAACGACGGUCGUGCGGCGCGAACUGGCGAGCUUGAGUGCGCCGAAGGAAGGCGGAAUUCGUGGUGUAGCGGUGAAAUGCUUAGAUAUCACGAAGAACCCCGAUUGCGAAGGCAGCUUUCCGUAGCGCAACUGACGCUGAUGCUCGAAGGUGCGGGUAUCGAACAGG